rnacentral:lncRNA from 1 species
UGACUGACUGUUCACGAAGGCACUACUAACUGAAGUCCAGCUGUGACAGACCAGAGGCAUUGUGCAUUUGAAGGAAGGAUGAGCACCCGUUAUCUGUGUGGUGAGGCUGAACACCGCUUGCAACAAUAGUACCUGAUCUUCAAGAUCUCAGCCACAGGUCAGUGUUUUGUGAACCCACUGAAGAAUCUGUGCCUUUCAAGAAACUCCAGAAAAUUAAUUCUGACCCCCAUCCUGCUAAGCUGGGAUGAGUGUCUCCAGUCAACCAGCUUGGAUUAUAAAUGACCAAUGGAAACGAUGAGGCCCCAUUCCUGCAAGUAAGUCUUGAUCUCAUCUGACAAGAUACCAUUUUUGAUUAGCAAGUGAAACCUGUAGUCUGUGCCCUGUCUGAACAGAAUGGGAAUAUGGUUGAAAAAAUAUACCCAGUCAUAGUACUAGCAGAUAAUUUAUAAUCAAAGCAUAUUAUAAUUAUGGUUUAUAAAUGAGGUGUUUAUAACCAUUUACCUGUCAAUAGGUAAAU